rnacentral:siRNA from 1 species
AAUGUUGGGUCCUAACUUACUGGU